GACGAACGCUGGCGGCGCGCCUAACACAUGCAAGUCGAGCGAAGCGGCGGACGGGUGAGUAACAAGUGAGUAACCUGCCUUAGACAUUGGGAUAGCCUCGGGAAACCGGGAUUAAUACAAAAUGGUCUAAGAUGUACUCGCGUCCCAUUAGCACGUAGGUGAGGGAACGGCCCCCCAAGGCGACGAUGGGUAGCCGGCCUGAGAGGGUGAACGGCCACAUUGGAACUGGGAAACGGUCCAAACUCUACGGGAGGCAGCAGUGGGGAAUAUUGCACAAUGGAGUGAACUCUGAUGCAGCGACGCCGCGUGAACGAAGAAGGCUUUCGAGUCGUAAAGUUCUUUUAUAUGGGAAGCGGUACCAAAAGAAAAAGCCCCGGCUAACUACGUGCCAGCAGCCGCGGUAAUUC
rnacentral:rRNA from 1 species